rnacentral:lncRNA from 1 species
GGAAUGGCAGAUAUUCAAGCUUAGGGAGCAAGCAGCAAGGACAGAGCCUUCCCCGUCUCUGUGUGUUGAAGUCAGCAGAUAGCACACCUGCUGCUGCGUGAGUUCCUUCUGCCAAGCAGAGCAGCACAGCUGCAAGACACCCUGCUUCUGGCUCUGAGCUUUGCUUGUCUUCAGGGAUGGAGCCCCUCCCAAGGCAAGUUCAACUGGGUUCUUUGGCAGCCGAAGUCUACACGGACCCUGCAGGGAGCGGUGGAGAAAAGUUAGAUGUCUGAAGUGUUUUUCAUUGGACCAAAAUCAAGGUGUUGGCUGGGCUACCUUCCCUUCUGGAGACUCUAAGGAAGAAUCCAUUUCCUUGUCUUUUCCAGAUCCUAGAGGCUACCUGCAUUCCUUGGCUUUUAUCCCCAAUCUUCCAUCUUCGGAGCCAGCAACACACCUUUUUCUUCCUUCCAUGAUAUAGAUAUAUUGAUCAUGAGGAGAGGGCUCACCCCUCACCCGGAGAAGUAGUUGGGGAAGCAAUAUGCGGAAACAAAGCCAUGAAUCUGACAAGAAAUGUACUUAAGGUAAAGGGAAGCCAAAUAUAAGUAAAGUACUAACAAGGCCAAUUACGUUCAGGUGCAUGGAUGAUUAAUCAUAAAAUUCACAACGGAGGACACUCUGUGGGGAAAAGACCAUGUGAGGACACAGUGAGAAGGAGACCAUAUGCAAAGCAGGAAGGAAGAUCUCACUGGAACCAAAAACCAGCCCUGCUGGCACCCUGAUCUUGGACUUCUAGCCUUUCUCAGAACUGUGAGAAAAUAAAUUUCUGAUGUUUCAGCCACUCAGCCUGUGGUCGUUCGUUAUGCAACCCUAGCAGACAAACAGGGACCUAGCUUAAGAACUGGUUAAAAAUGAGGCCAGUGAGGAAUUUGAUACUCUAUGGUUGGGAAAGUUUGAUUUAUUCUAAGUGCAAUGGAAUGGAGCUGGGGAUAUAAAUUUUGGAUUUACUGGCAGGUGAAACAUAUUUUAAAAUAGACUAAAAUUAAAUUUCCUAAGGACAGAAUGUAGACAGAAAAGAAUCAAGGUUUUAUGACCAAGAUCCAAGUCACUCCAAUAUUUAGAGUUCUCCCAAGCAUUUAAAGAAGGCUUACACUGAUUCUAUGUAGCAUCUUCCAAAAAAUAGAAAUUUUUCACGGCAUCUUUCCAAGUCAUUAUAUGAGGCCAAAAUUACCUUGAUAUUUUAACCAAAGACAGUACGAGAGAAAAAGCUAUAGAUCAAUAUCUCACAUGAACUUAGACAUAACAUUUCUAAACAAAAUAUUAGCAACUUGAAUCCAGAAAUAUGUAAAAAAGAAUUAUGCAACAUAGCCAAGUGGGAUCUAUUCCAGGUAUGCAAUGCUUUUAAAUGUUUGAAAAAAAGUCAAUAUAAUCUACCAUAUUAACAGGCUAAUCACAUGAUCAUAUCAGUUGAUGAAGAUCAAAUCUAUGACAAAAUUUAACACCUAUUUAUAAUUUUAAAGAACCUCUCUAAAAAUAAAAAAUAGAAGGAAAUAUCCUCAAAUUGAUAAAGAUCAUUUACAGAAAACACAAAAGCUAGCAUUACACUUAAUGGUGAGAAUCUGAAUUAGUUCCCCCUAAGAUCAGGACCAGGCAAAGAUGUUUGCUAUCAUCACUCUCAUUCCAUAUAGUGCUGGAAGUUCUCACUGGUGCAAUAAGGCACACAGUGGAAAUAAAGACACUGAAAUUUGUGUUAGUUAAUUUUGUGUUGCUAUAACGGAAUGCCACAGAAUGGAUAAUUUAUUAAGAAAAUUGUUUAUUUCUUACAGUUUUGGAGGCUCAGAAGUUCAAGGUGCAGGGGCCCACAUCUGGUGAGGGCCUUCUUGCUGUAUCAUCCCAUGGCAGAAGGCAAAAGGGCAAGAGUACAAGAUAGAAAGAGAAAGAGGGAUGGGGGAAGGUUGAUAUGAGGGAGCCAAACUCAUCCUUUUUAUCCAGAGUCCACUCCUGAGAUAAUUAAGUCACUUCCGCAAUACAUCAUUAAUCCAUUCAGAGCCCUCAUGACCUAAUCACCUUUUAAAGGUUCCACUUAACGCUGUUGCACUGGGGAUUAAGUUUCCAAUACAAAAACUUUGGGGGAUGCAUUCAAACUAUAGCCAGUUUGAAUGGAAAAAAAUUUAACUGUUUCUAUUUCAAAUGACCUAAUUGUAUACAUAGAAAAUUCCAGGCAAUCUUUUAAAAACUCCCAGAACUAAUGUAUAAGUUUAGCAAGAUCAUAGGAUCCAAGACCAACACACAAAAAUCAAUCAUAUUUUUAUACGCUAGCAAUGAAUAUGUGGAAAACACAAUUAAGAAUACAAGACUAUUUACAAUUAUUUCAAAAAAGAGAGAAAUAAUUAGAUACAAAUCUAAUGUACACAUAGGUCCUCUAUGCCAAAAAUGACAGAACCCAAAGGAACAAAUGCAAAGGACCUUUAAAUAAAUGGAGAGAUGACUUUGUAAUGGAUAGAAAGAUUCAACAUAAUAAAGAUGUCAAUUCUCUCCAACUUCAUCAACAGGGGCAAUUCAAUUCAUAUCAAAAUUCCAAAAAAAUUUUUUUGCAGAUAUAGUAAAAUUUAUUUUAAAAUUUAUAUCUCAAGGCACAGGCCAUGGACUAAGUAAAAUUAUUUUGAAAUUGAAUAAAGUUGGGUAGAUUAUUAUAUCCAAUGUUAAGACUUAAUAUAUGGCUACAAUAAUCAAGAGAGUGUGAUAUUGGUUGGGGGAAUAGACUCAUAGAUCAAUGGAACAGAAGAGAUAACCCGAAACUAAACAACACAAAUAUGCCCAGCUGAUUUUUGCAAAGGUUAUAAAAGCGGUUCAGUGGAAGAACAGUUCUUUCAACAGAUGAUGUUAAAGCAAUUAGAUGUCCAAGGGCAAAUAAUUGAGUCUCAACCUAAACCUAAUACUUCAUUCAAAAAUUAAUUCAAAGUGUAUUAUAGAUUUAAAUAUAAAUGUAAAACUAAAAAACUUUAGCAUAAAACAAAGAAAAAUUUUAGGAAGUAGGGCUAGAUGAGAAGAUCUUAGAUAUGACACCAAAAGCACAACUCAUAAGAGAAUAUAAUUACUCUAUUGGACUUCAUAAAAAUUAAAAACUUUUGCUCUGUGAAAGACUACAUUUAGAGAAUGAAAAGUUAAUCUAAAGUUAAUCUACAGACUAGAGGAAAAUAUUUGCAAAUCACAAGAUUCAACAUAGGGCUUCUACUUAGAAUAUAUAAAGAGCUCUCAAGCUGAACAUUAAAAGAAAAAUAAGCAGGCUGGUCUGAAGAUAGCGAAGUAUCUCAACUGAUUGUUCACAGUUCGUUAAGGAUCUUACUCUUUGUUCUACAAUUCCCCCCUUCUCACUACUGCACUUGACUAAUAAAAAAGCAAUUAAAUUAGAAAAUUUAUAAACAAAAUUAACAAAAGAUUUUUAACUGGGGAGAGAUGAUAUCUCAUUUUAGUUUUGAUUUGCUUUUCUCUGAUAAUCAAUGAUGUUGAAUGCGUUUUCACAUGCCUGUUUGACAUUUGUAUGUCUUCUUUUGGGCAACGUCUAUUCAAAUCUUUUGCCCAUUUUUUAAAUCAAAUUAUUAGAUUUUUUCCUGUAAAAUUGUUUGAGCUCCUUAUAUAUUCUAAUUAUUAAUCCCUCAUCAGGUGGGUAGUUUGCAAAUAAUUUCUCCCACUCUGCACAUUGUCUCUUCACUUUGUUUAUUGUUCCCUUCAUUCUGCAGAAGCUUUUAAACUUGAUUUGACCCCACUUGUCCAUAUCCAAAAGACAGGCAAUAACAAAUGCUGGUGAGGAUGUGGAGAAAAGUGAAUGCUUGUACACUGUUUGUGGGAAUAUAAAUUAGUAUAACCACUCUGAAGAAUAGUUUGGAGGUUCCUCGAAAAAUUAAAAAUAGAGCUACCAUAUGAUCCAGCAAUACCAUUCCUAGGUAUAUGACCAAUAGAAGGGAAAUCAAUAUAUUGAAGAGAUACCUGCACUCCCAUGUUAGCUGAAACACCGUUCAUAAUAGCCAAGAUUUGGAAGCAAUCUAAGUGUCCAUCAAUAGAUGAAUGGAUAAAGAAAGUGUGGUACUUAUACACAAUGGAGAAUUAUUUAGCCACGGAAAAGCAUGAGAUCCUGUCAUUUGCAACAACAUGGAUGGAACCGGAGAUCAUUAUGUUAAGUGAAAUAAGCCAGGCACAGAAAGACAAAGAUCACAUGUUCUCACUUAUUUGUGGGAGCUAAAAUUUAAAACGAUUGAACUCGUAUACAUAGAGUGUAGAGGAUGGUUACCAGAGGCUGGGAAGGGUAGUUGGGGUUGAUAGGGAAGAUGAAAAUAGCUAAUGGGUUAAAAAAAAUGAAAGAAUGAAUAAUACCUGGUAGUUGAUAGCAAAACAGGGUUACUAUAGUCAAAAUAAUUUAAUUGUAUAUUUUCAAAUAACUAAAAGAAUGUAAUUGGAUUGUUUGUAACACAAAGGAUAAAUGCUUAAGGAGAUGAAUACCCCAUUUACCCUGAUGUGAUUAUUAUAUGCAUUGCAUACCUGUCAUCUGGAUGUCCAAGCAGAAGUUUGCUGCAGAGGUGGGGCCUCAUGAAGAACCUCUGCUAGGGCAGUGUGGAAGAGAAAUGUGGGGUUGGAUGCCCCAGAGUCCCCACUGGGGCACUGCCUAGUAGAGCUGUGAGAAGAGAGCCACCAUCCUCCAUACUCCAGAACGAUAGAUCCACCAACAGCUUGCACUAUGCGCCUGGAAAAGCUGCAGACAUUCAACACUAGCCCCUGAAAGCAGCCAGGAUGGGGGCUGUAUCCUGCAAAGCCACAGGGGAGGAGCUGCCCGAGGCUGUGGGAGCUCACCUCUUGUAUCAGCAUGACCUGGAUAUGAGACAUGAAGUCAAAGGAGAUCAUUUUGGAGCUUUAAGAUUUAAUGAUUGCCCCUUGGGAUUACAGACUUGCAUGGAGUCUUAGCCCUUUUGUUUUGGCCAAUUCCUCCCAUUUGGAACAGGUAUAUUUACCCACUGCCUGUACCCCCAUUAUAUCUAGGAAGUAACUCACUUGCUUUUGAUUUUACAGACUCAUAAGUGGAAGGGACUUGCUUUGUCUCUGAUGAUACUUUGGACUGUGAACUUUUGAGUUAAUACUGAAAUGAGUUAAGACUUUGGGGGACUGUUGGGAAGGCAUGAUUGCUUUUGAAAUGUGAGAACAUGAGAUUUGGGAGGGGCCAGGGGCUGAAUGAUAUGGUUUGGUUGUGUCCCCACCCAAAUCUCACCUUAAAUUGUAAUAAUCCCCAUGUGUCAAGGGUGGGGCCAGGUGGAGAUAACUGGAUCAUGGGGGCGGUUUUCCCCAUACUGUUCUCAUGGUAGUGAAUAAGUCUUACGAGUCUGAUGGUUUUAUAAAUAAGACUUCCCCAUACAAGCUCUCUUUUGCCUGCCACCAUGUAAGAUGUGACUUUACUCCUCAUUUGCCUUCCGCUAUGAUUAUGAGGGCUCCCUAGCUAUGUGGACCUGUGAGUCCAUUAAACCUCUUUCCUUAAUAAAUUACCCAGUCUUGGGUGUGUCUUUAUUAGCAGUGUUUGAACAGACAAAUAUACAA